UGGAGCUGGGGUAGUGGGUGCACUGCGAUUUGUCCCCUUGGCUUGGCCCCUCUGUGGUGGGCUAGCUCUUGUCCGCACGUGUAUUUCGUGCCUCCUUUGUGGAUGGUGGAGAGGAGCGGAGGAGCAGGCGAGGGAUCUGUGCGGUGCUGCCUGAGGCCCAGGGCAGGGAGUGGGGCCCGCGGGGCUCUCGGCACUCACUGCUGCCUUGGGGCCAGGCUUUGUCUGCGCCUGGUGCCCUUCCCCUGCGCCGCUGGUGGGAUCCAGCACUGCGUGACGCAGGGAGUGCUGCCGGCUCUGCCAGUUUCUGCCUGCAACGUGUGUUUCAGCUUCUGGCUUGCCCAGGCCUUCGCCAGAAGAUGAUUGAUAAUGUCCUGAACCUCUUUGUGAGAUAUCUGCGGAGUGACCGCCGGGUGAUGCGUGGGCUGGUGCUCAGAGGCCUCGUCCUGCUCUGCAAGAGCCCGAGGAUGGUAAGAAAAAUGCAGUUUCUGCUGCCAGUCAUCAUGGAGCGACUGCGGGAUGUGGACAGGGAUGUCAGCACUAAGGCCCUGGUGGUGCUCACUAACGUGGUGCGCAUCAUGGACAAAAAGACGGUUGCCCGCAUCGCUCCAGUGCUGGUCGAGAAGCUCCUGCCACUCUUUGAUGACGAGUCUAGCCAUGUGCGAGAGCUCUCCAUCCACCUCUUCAGAGAUGUGCUGGAGAUUGUGGUGGACACCAAAGACCGUCAGCUGGAGAAGCAAGUGCACUGCAGCCUGCUCCCACUGCUCUUCCAUGGGCAUGAUGAGAGCCCAAGAGUGGGCCAGGUAUGCAUUUCUAACCAGGGGCGUAGAAGUUUCUAAGCAGCGGAUGAGAAGCUGGGCAUGGGCCUCUGCCAGACCUGCUCUCCCGGGUCCCACAGGGCUCAGCUGGAGUGCGUGGCCACAAAUGUCUAAGCACUGGAGUCCCUAGGGGCUUCGAAGAUGACCCCGCAGGUGUGCGAGGCUGGGCUUUGACCCCCAAUCCCUGUUGCCCCUCUGCUCUGCCCCAGCAGGGGCCCUGGAGAUGCCUCAGGGCCCUGGGCAUGCCCCAGCUGCCAAAGGCCUGAGCAUGGCAGGAGGUGACACCCUGCUCACUAAGUUCAGUGUGUGCCCCCAGUGCCCUCGGUCUGUGCAGAGAGGGGCAGCACCCGCAAGGGGUUUGGGGAGCCCACAUGUUCCCCAGCCGCCGAGCCUGGGGAGGGGAGAGCCCUGGGGAGGGAGAUGCAGUGCGGGGAGGGGCCUGGCCCUGCGUCCGGGGUAGCCAGCUCAGGAGCCRGGGCACAAGUCUGGGCAAUGGAGCAGGCCGGGGAGCCGAGCACCCGCAUGGGGAACGCCUGUGGGAAGUAGUUCUGGCUGAGUCCUGCGCAGGCGUCUCUGCGACUGCAGCCCUUCAGCCUCCUCCUGGCCUUGGCGACAGCUCAGCAGCUCUCGGGGCUCUCUGUUGUGCUGCCAAGGCAGGACGAGGUGCCUGAGGUGCUGCUUGCUCCCCGUCUCUGCCUGGGACAUUGAGCCCUGUGGCAGACUUGGUGCCCAGCUGCUGCCCCUUCCCACAGGGGGCCAGGAAAAGCCCUGAGGCUUGCCAAGAGGAGGGGGUCGCAGGGUCUUGUCCCCUGGGCUGCGGUGGCAUCUCCCAGUCUCUGCUGCUGU
ensembl:lncRNA